AUUAUUUUGUAGAAAUAAUUUUUUAUCUUAAUCAUGUUUUAUUUUUUCUUUUGUGUUGGACUCGCAGUAAUACUAUGUUAUAAACUACAAAUUGUUUAUAUAGUUGAAUUUCUCAUGUAAUUGAAUUUGUUGUAAUUCUUUAUGAGAAUAAAGUUUCUAUAACCA